GGCCUUUAGCCUAAUCAGUAUUAAAGGUCACACCUGCCCAGUGAAAACUUUUAACGGCCGCGGUACCCUAACCGUGCAAAGGUAGCGCAAUCAUUUGCCCCCUAACUAGGGGCUAGUAUGAACGGUUCAAUGAGGGCACCACUGUCUCCUGCGGCCAGUCAAUGAAAUUGAUCACUCAGUACAAAUGCUGAACUACACCCACAAGACGAGAAGACCCUGUGGAACUUUAAAUCACCUGUGUUACAUAACUAGGCCACAAUAAGCAACCACCUAACACAAAUUUUAAGUUGGGGCAACUACGGAGCACACCAGAACCUCCAUGAACCAUGACCACAAGUCACAACCAAGACUAACAAGUCGCACAACCACACGACCCAGUCAAACCUGAUAAUCGAACCAAGCUACCCCAGGGAUAACAGCGCCAUCCCCUUUAAGAGUCCAUAUCGCCAAGGGGGCUUACGACCUCGAUGUUGGAUCAGGACCCCCAGGCGGUGUAGUCGCUGCCACAGGCCCGUUUGUUCAACGGAUAAAGUCCU
rnacentral:rRNA from 1 species